rnacentral:rRNA from 1 species
UACGUAGGGUGCAAGCGUUGUCCGGAAUUAUUGGGCGUAAAGAGCUCGUAGGCGGUCUGUCGCGUCGAAUGUGAAACCCCGAGGCUCAACCUCGGGUCUGCAUUCGAUACGGGCAGACUAGAGUUCGGUAGGGGAGUCUGGAAUUCCUGGUGUAGCGGUGAAAUGCGCAGAUAUCAGGAGGAACACCGGUGGCGAAGGCGGGACUCUGGUCCGGUACUGACGCUGAGGUGCGAAAGCGCGGGGAGCAAACAGG